rnacentral:rRNA from 1 species
CAGGUCACUCCUACGGGAGGCAGCAGUGGGGAAUUUUGCGCAAUGGGGGAAACCCUGACGCAGCAACGCCGCGUGGAGGAUGAAGUCCCUUGGGAUGUAAACUCCUUUCGAUCGGGACGAUUAUGACGGUACCCGUAGAAGAAGCUCCGGCUAACUUCGUGCCAGCAGCCGCGGUAAUACGAAGGGGGCUAGCGUUGUUCGGAAUUACUGGGCGUAAAGCGCGCGCAGGCGGUCUUCCAAGUCAGUGGUGAAAGCCCGGAGCUCAACUCCGGAAUUGCCAUUGAAACUGUUUAGCUUGAGGACGAGAGAGGUGAGUGGAAUUCCCAGUGUAGAGGUGAAAUUCGUAGAUAUUGGGAAGAACACCGGUGGCGAAGGCGGCUCACUGGCUCAUUUCUGACGCUCAGGCGCGACAGCGUGGGGAUCAAACAGGAUUAGAUACCCUGGUAGUCCACGCCGUAAACGAUGAAUGCUAGCCGUUGGGCAGCUUGCUGUUCAGUGGCGCAGCUAACGCAUUAAGCAUUCCGCCUGGGGAGUACGGCCGCAAGGUUGAAACUUAAAGGAAUUGACGGACUCCUACGGGAGGCAGCAGUGGGGAAUAUUGGACAAUGGGGGCAACCCUGAUC